GACGAACGCUGGCGGCGUGCCUAAUACAUGCAAGUCGAACGAGAAUUUUUUACACCGAGUGCUUGCACUCACCGUAAGAAAUUCGAGUGGCGGACGGGUGAGUAACACGUGGGUAACCUGCCCAAAAGAAGGGGAUAACAUUUGGAAACAAAUGCUAAUACCGUAUAACCAUGAUGACCGCAUGGUCAUGAUGUAAAAGGUGGUUUUGCUAUCGCUUUUGGAUGGACCCGCGGCGUAUUAACUAGUUGGUGGGGUAACGGCCUACCAAGGUGAUGAUACGUAGCCGAACUGAGAGGUUGAUCGGCCACAAUGGGACUGAGACACGGCCCAUACUCCUACGGGAGGCAGCAGUAGGGAAUCUUCCACAAUGGACGGAAGUCUGAUGGAGCAACGCCGCGUGAAUGAAGAAGGUCUUCGGAUCGUAAAAUUCUGUUGUUAGAGAAGAAUAUGAGUAAUAGUAACUGAUUAUUCACUGACGGUAUCUAACCAGCAAGUCACGGCUAACUACGUGCCAGCAGCCGCGGUAAUACGUAGGUGGCAAGCGUUGUCCGGAUUUAUUGGGCGUAAAGGGAACGCAGGCGGUUUUUUAAGUCUGAUGUGAAAGCCUUCGGCUUAACCGAAGAAGUGCAUUGGAAACUGGAAGACUUGAGUGCAGAAAAGGAGAGUGGAACUCCAUGUGUAGCGGUGAAAUGCGUAGAUAU
rnacentral:rRNA from 1 species